rnacentral:rRNA from 1 species
CCUACGGGAUGCAGCAGUGGGGGAUAUUGCACAAUGGGGGAAACCCUGAUGCAGCGACGCCGCGUGGGCGAAGAAGUAUUUCGGUAUGUAAAGCCCUAUCAGCAGGGAAGACGAAAUGAUGGUACCUGAGUAAGAAGCACCGGCUAAAUAUGUGCCAGCAGCCGCGGUAAUACGUAUGGUGCAAGCGUUAUCCGGAUUUACUGGGUGGAAAGGGAGCGCAGGCGGCACGGCAAGCCUGAUGUGAAAGCCCGCGGCCCAACCGCGGGACUGCAUUGGGAACUACCGGGCUGGAGUGCCGGAGAGGUAGGCGGAAUUCCUAGUGUAGCGGUGAAAUGCGUAGAUAUCAGGAGGAACACCGGUGGCGAAGGCGGCCUGCUGGACUGCGACUGACGUUGAGGCCCGAAAGCGUGGGGAGCAAACAGGAUUAGAUACCCCUGUAGUC